rnacentral:rRNA from 1 species
AUUGAACGCUGGCGGCAUGCCUUACACAUGCAAGUCGAACGGCAGCAUGGAGAGCUUGCUCUCUGAUGGCGAGUGGCGAACGGGUGAGUAAUGCAUCGGAACGUACCGUGUAAUGGGGGAUAACGUAGCGAAAGUUACGCUAAUACCGCAUACGACCUGAGGGUGAAAGCAGGGGAUCGCAAGACCUUGCGUUAUACGAGCGGCCGAUGUCAGAUUAGCUAGUUGGUGAGGUAAAGGCUCACCAAGGCGACGAUCUGUAGCGGGCCUGAGAGGAGGAUCCGCCACACUGGGACUGAGACACGGCCCAGACUCCUACGGGAGGCAGCAGUGGGGAAUUUUGGACAAUGGGGGCAACCCUGAUCCAGCCAUGCCGCGUGAGUGAAGAAGGCCUUCGGGUUGUAAAGCUCUUUCGGCCGGGAAGAAAUCGCACAGGCUAAUACUCUGUGUGGAUGACGGUACCGGCAUAAGAAGCACCGGCUAACUACGUGCCAGCAGCCGCCGUAA